rnacentral:rRNA from 1 species
AUUGAACGCUGGCGGAAUGCUUUACACAUGCAAGUCGAGCGGCAGCGCGGCCUUCGGGCCGGCGGCGAGCGGCGAACGGGUGAGUAAUGCAUCGGAACAUGCCCAGUCGUGGGGGAUAACACUUCGAAAGAAGUGCUAAUACCGCAUACGUCCUGAGGGGGAAAGCGGGGGAUCGCAAGACCUCGCGCGAUUGGAGUGGCCGAUGUCAGAUUAGCUAGUUGGUGGGGUAAAGGCCUACCAAGGCGACGAUCUCUAGCUGGUCUGAGAGGAUGAUCAGCCACACUGGGACUGAGACACGGCCCAGACUCCUACGGGAGGCAGCAGUGGGUAAUUUUGGACAAUGGGGGCAACCCUGAUCCAGCCAUUCCGCGUGAGUGAAGAAGGCCUUCGGGUUGUAAAGCUCUUUCGGCAGGAACGAAACGGUGGGCUCUAACAUAGUCCGCUAAUGACGGUACCUGAAGAAGAAGCACCGGCUAACUACGUG